rnacentral:rRNA from 1 species
ACGAACGCUGGCGGCGUGCCUAAUACAUGCAAGUCGAACGGUCUUUUCUAUGGAAGCUUGCUUCCACUGAGAAGAUAGUGGCGAACGGGUGAGUAACACGUGGGUAACCUGCCCAUAAGAGGGGGAUAACAUCCGGAAACGGGUGCUGAUACCGCAUAGUUUUCUUGAUCGCAUGAUCGGGAAAGGAAAGACGGCCUUUGUGCUGUCGCUUAUGGAUGGACCCGCGGCGUAUUAGUUAGUUGGUGAGGUAACGGCUCACCAAGACGAUGAUACGUAGCCGACCUGAGAGGGUGAUCGGCCACAUUGGGACUGAGACACGGCCCAAACUCCUACGGGAGGCAGCAGUAGGGAAUCUUCCGCAAUGGACGAAAGUCUGACGGAGCAACGCCGCGUGAGUGAAGAAAGGUUUUCGGAUCGUAAAACUCUGUUGUCAGAGAAGAACAAGUUGGAGAGUAACUGCUCCAGCCUUGACGGUAUCUGACCAGAAAGCCACGGCUAACUACGUGCCAGCCGCUGC